GACGAACGCUGGCGGCGUGCUUAACACAUGCAAGUCGAACGGAAAGGCCCUGCUUUUGUGGGGUGCUCGAGUGGCGAACGGGUGAGUAACACGUGAGUAACCUGCCCUUGACUUUGGGAUAACUUCAGGAAACUGGGGCUAAUACCGGAUAGGAGCUCCUGCUGCAUGGUGGGGGUUGGAAAGUUUCGGCGGGUGGGGAUGGACUCGCGGCUUAUCAGCUUGUUGGUGGGGUAGUGGCUUACCAAGGCUUUGACGGGUAGCCGGCCUGAGAGGGUGACCGGCCACAUUGGGACUGCGAUACGGCCCAGACUCCUACGGGGGGCAGCAGUGGGGAAUAUUGCACAAUGGGCGGAAGCCUGAUGCAGCAACGCCGCGUGCGGGAUGACGGCCUUCGGGUUGUAAACCGCUUUCGCCUGUGACGAAGCGUGAGUGACGGUAAUGGGUAAAGAAGCACCGGCUAACUACGUG
rnacentral:rRNA from 1 species